CGGCGGACGGGUGAGUAAUGCAUAGAAUCUGCCCGAUAGUGGGGAUAACCUGGGGAAACCCAGGCUAAUACCGCAUACGUCCUACGGGAGAAAGGGGGCUCCGGCUCCCGCUAUGGGAUGAGCCUAUGUCGGAUUAGCUAGUUGGUGAGGUAACGGCUCACCAAGGCCACGAUCCGUAGCUGGUCUGAGAGGAUGAUCAGCCACAUCGGGACUGAGACACGGCCCGAACUCCUACGGGAGGCAGCAGUGGGGAAUAUUGGACAAUGGGGGAAACCCUGAUCCAGCCAUGCCGCGUGUGUGAAGAAGGCCCUCGGGUUGUAAAGCACUUUCAGCGAGGAAGAACGCCUAGCGGUUAAUACCCGCUAGGAAAGACAUCACUCGCAGAAGAAGCACCGGCUAACUCCGUGCCAGCAGCCGCGGUAAUACGGAGGGUGCAAGCGUUAAUCGGAAUUACUGGGCGUAAAGCGCGCGUAGGUGGCUUGAUAAGCCGGUUGUGAAAGCCCCGGGCUCAACCUGGGAACGGCAUCCGGAACUGUCAAGCUAGAGUGCAGGAGAGGAAGGUAGAAUUCCCGGUGUAGCGGUGAAAUGCGUAGAGAUCGGGAGGAAUACCAGUGGCGAAGGCGGCCUUCUGGACUGACACUGACACUGAGGUGCGAAAGCGUGGGUAGCAAACAGGAUUAGAUACCCUGGUAGUCCACGCCGUAAACGAUGUCGACCAGCCGUUGGGUGCCUAGCGCACUUUGUGGCGAAGUUAACGCGAUAAGUCGACCGCCUGGGGAGUACGGCCGCAAGGUUAAAACUCAAAUGAAUUGACGGGGGCCCGCACAAGCGGUGGAGCAUGUGGUUUAAUUCGAUGCAACGCGAAGAACCUUACCUACUCUUGACAUCCCUGCGAAUUUGGUAGAGAUACCUUAGUGCCUUCGGGAACGCAGAGACAGGUGCUGCAUGGCUGUCGUCAGCUCGUGUUGUGAAAUGUUGGGUUAAGUCCCCGUAACGAGCGCAACCCUUGUCCUUAUUUGCC
rnacentral:rRNA from 1 species